AUACUCUGACAAUUAUGCUGCAAAAACAUGUAGAACGAACACAUAUCUCUGUGUUAAUUUGGAAGUGUAAAACACAGAUACAUAUUAAAUGUUUGUUUGCUACCUUUUUCAGUGUAUUUCAAAACAAUUCGCACAAGAAAACAGACUCAUAGGCAGGAAAUGGAAUAUAAUUAUGAGGGACAAGCAAUGAUCAUGGACGUUUAGUGUAUAUACAAAUGGGAAAACACCAUUAUUGGAAGUGGAUGGCGUGAAUUCUGCAUUCUGAAUUGCUUAAAGGAAGGAGCUCGCUUAAUGUUUGAGAUGGUUUCCAAUGGAAAAACACCUAUAUUUAGAUUUCAUUAUAAGUUUCACAUCUAAGCCCUUGUCUUAAACUUCAUCCUGUUUUCUAUUGUUUACUUAUUUACUUCUUUAAAUUAAUUAAAGCAAGAUCGAUGACCUUAUAGCUACACGAAUCCCAUCAAGUUAUUAACUUUUAUAUGUUCGAGAUUUCCAUGGUUUGAAUUUUAAUUACUUGACACACAUUACAAUCUAUAUCCAAAUUGCGCAUAACAAUUUGUUCCUUUCUACGUCCAACUUAAUGUAUGUUCUUUUGGUUAUAAGUUCAUCUUCAGUUUCAGUUCUAACUUUGUUGUUUCAAUUAAUUAAACAAGAUUUGAGAGGAAGUCCAUCCCUCCAGGCUGAAGUAAAGAUGAAAAAAUUUGAUGCUGAAAGAAUGUCUGAUAAAGGUCUUAGGCAUAAGACCUCGAGCCCAACUAUUCCGGAAUCACAAGUAGCUGUUUCAACAUCUGUUGAUGCCAACUCUUUAUAUCUACUUUUAAACCUUACACCAUCAAACAUCCUACUUUGUAUCUUCCACUGGAUUUCUCGAAAUCAAAUGGCUUGAUGGAUAAAAGUGAGAUGAUUCUUGUCGAUGGAAAGCAGAGAUCAUGGUCAGCGUGGCUAGGUCGAACGGGACAUCACUUUGGAAUUCUAAGGGGAUGGACACAGUUCAAAAAAGCAAAUGGUGUUCAAGUAGGAGAAACUUACAAGUUUGAACUCACCAACAAUGGCACAAUACCUAUAGUUCAUUUCCACUGUAAAUAUUCUGGGAAGGAUGCAGUUGUUGAUGAGCAAGGAAACUAGUCAUUAAAGCAAGUGGAUGUAAUGAUUUUGGUUCUUGUACAUUUUGGUAUAUUCAUUGCCCAAACCUGUCUAAUCAGACAUCUAACAAGGCUCCCUUCAGAAGACCAAGAAUUUAGAUUUUACUAUAUGUUUUCGGAGCCGUGUAAUCUCUGCUCUGUAAUUGCAAUUGAUCGUUAGUCAGUCGUUUUGUUGCACUCUAUAUGUACUCAGUUUCAAUUAAAGAGAAGUUGCGCGAUUGUAUCAAAUAUUUCAAUUUCGAUGAUUUUAUGAUAGGCUAGCAGUCUUACUGCUUAUUCUCAUUCUGGAUGGCUUCAACAGUUUAUAGUCUUCUUGACAUCAUUUGGCUAUGCAUUGAGGCAAUUGAAAGUUGUGUGGAUUGAAUGUCUAACUUGGUGAAUCCUAGCCUUGUUGGGAAUCAAAAAUGAAUUAGAAACAAGAUUGUAUUGUGUAGAAAGAAAAAACAGUAUUACUAUGAAAAAAAUAAUAAAAUCGAUAGUACCAAAAAUUCCAGAACAGAAAACUCAUAUGUCAAACUGUUGCAAGCCUCCUUGUUCCAACUUUCCCCCCAAUAGCACCUGCUGCUACUGCCUAGAAUACACAUUAGGAUACACACCCCAUAGGAGCAGUACCUUCCUGCCGUACCUAUCUAUACGAUAGGCUGAAUGACAGCGGACAUCAGGGAAGCGUUGCUCUUAAAGCCUAGCAUUUGGAAAGGUACAGGAGUAUUAAUUCCCGUGAGCUGCAGGAAUGAAGGAAUUAAGAGUCGAUAAAAUCAAAUGGGCUCUGUACUUUUGAACUUUCAGAAGGUUAUUCCAUGGCUUUUCUAAUUUCCUGGAUGCUUCACUGGCCUAUAUAUUGUGCCGUCAUUUUGCUUCCCUCGCCUAUAUAUGGUGAAGGUUAUAUAUAGGAA